rnacentral:rRNA from 1 species
GACGAACGCUGGCGGCGUGCUUAACACAUGCAAGUCGAACGGAAGGGCCCUGCUUUUGUGGGGUGCUCGAGUGGCGAACGGGUGAGUAACACGUGAGUAACCUGCCCUUGACUUUGGGAUAACUUCAGGAAACUGGGGCUAAUACCGGAUAGGAGCUCCUGCUGCAUGGUGGGGGUUGGAAAGUUUCGGCGGUUGGGGAUGGACUCGCGGCUUAUCCGCUUGUUGGUGGGGUAGUGGCUUACCAAGGCUUUGACGGGUAGCCGGCCUGAGAGGGUGACCGGCCACAUUGGGACUGAGAUACGGCCCAGACUCCUACGGGAGGCAGCAGUGGGGAAUAUUGCACAAUGGGCGGAAGCCUGAUGCAGCAACGCCGCGUGCGGGAUGACGGCCUUCGGGUUGUAAACCGCUUUCGCCUGUGACGAAGCGUGAGUGACGGUAAUGGGUAAAGAAGCACCGGCUAACUACGUG